rnacentral:tRNA from 1 species
GCCAUCCUAGCUCAGCUGGCAGAGCAGUUGAUUCGUAAUUAACAGGUCGGGGGUUCGACUCCCCUGGAUGGCU